CACGUAGUUAGCCGUGACUUUCUGGCGGGGCACCAUCAGUCAGCGCCCAUUUCCUGAUGCUGCCUUUUUUCCCCCGCAACAGAGCUUUACGACCCGAAGGCCUUCUUCACUCACGCGGCAUCGCUCGUUCAGGCUUGCGCCCAUUGACGAAAAUUCCCUACUGCUGCCUCCCGCAGGAGUCUGGGCCGUGUCUCAGUCCCAAUGUGGCCGUCCGCCCUCUCAGGCCGGCUAUGCAUCAUCGUCUUGGUGGGCCUUUACCCCGCCAACCAACUAAUGCAUCGCAGGUCCAUCCGCGCCCCAUCCCCCUAAAGGAUGUUUCACAGAAAGAAGAUGCCUCCUUCCUGUACAUCGGGAUUUGUUCUCCGUUUCCAGAGCGUAUUCCCGGUGCACGGGCAGGUUCCCUACGUGUUACUCACCCGUUCGCCACUAGAGACCCCGAAGGUCUCUCGUUCGACUUGCAUGUAUUAGGCAUGCCGCCAGCGUUCAUCCUGAGCCAGGAUACC
rnacentral:rRNA from 1 species